GGCCGGCUCGCGUGCGGUCGAGUGCGGUCGGACUGGGCCGGUUCGGCCCAAAGUGGCCGGGCCGGUCCGUUUGCCCCCCCUUUUUUUUUACCCUUUUCUUUUUCUGUUUUUCUUAUUCCUUUGAUAUCUUUUGAUUUUGAACUCCAAAUUGGUCCAAAUAAAUCCCAGAAAAUUUGUAAAAUCAUGUUCUACCAUGAUACAGCUUUUGGAAGUAGUUUCUCUUCAAAAUAAAAUAUAUAAAAAUACAUUUGCGCUAUAAAUGCCUUUAGGGUCAUAUAUCUAUUUAAAUAAAAUACUUUUUCAACUCCAAAUAAUUAUCCAAAAAUUAUGAGAUAGCUUAUAUAUGCACUAAACCCCUUUUAUACAUAAAACCUAUUGGUUUGAAAAUCCAAAACUCAAAUGGGUGUAAACCCUAGGGUUCAAAAUGAAACAAAGUCUUUUAAAGCCCUUUUGAGAUUCAAAAUUUUAAUUCAAAUAUGCAAUUGUGGC
rnacentral:lncRNA from 1 species